UACGUGGGGUGCGAGCGUUGUCCGGAAUUAUUGGGCGUAAAGGGCUCGUAGGCGGUUUGUUGCGUCGGGAGUGAAAACACUGGGCUUAACCGAGUGCUUGCUUUCGAUACGGGCAGACUUGAGGCAUUGAGGGGAGAACGGAAUUCCUGGUGUAGCGGUGAAAUGCGCAGAUAUCAGGAGGAACACCGGUGGCGAAGGCGGUUCUCUGGCAAUGUUCUGACGCUGAGGAGCGAAAGUGUGGGGAGCGAAUGGG
rnacentral:rRNA from 1 species